rnacentral:piRNA from 1 species
UGCCUAUACUCUCAAUCUAUAUCAGAUAA